rnacentral:misc_RNA from 1 species
GAUGAAGAACGCAGCGAAAUGCGAUAAGUAAUGUGAAUUGCAGAAUUCCGUGAAUCAUCGAAUCUUUGAACGCAUAUUGCGCCCUCUGGCAUUCCGGGGGGCAUGCCUGUCCGAGCGUCAUUUCUGCCCUCCAGCCCGGCUGGGUGUUGGGCGCUGUCCCCCCGGGGACACGCCCCAAAGGCAGUGGCGGCGCCGCGUCGGGUCCUCGAGCGUAUGGGGCUUUGUCACCCGCUCGGGACGGACUCGUCGGCGCUGGUCUUCCUCCAGGCGACCCUUCGGGGCUCGUCUUCCUUCGGUUGACCUCGGAUCAGGUAGGGUUACCCGCUGAACUUAAGCAUAUCAAUAAGCGGAGGA